UGAAAUUGUUUAUACAAAAGAUUGGCUCUUUAACUUUUAAGUUAAAUAUGUUAUUUCCUUAUUAACUGUUGUCUGUCAAUUAUAAAAAUAGCAAUUAUAAAAAUACACAUAAUGACAACAGAUUAAUCUUUAGAACUGUUCGCAAAAUUUUUGGUUUGGAUACAAAAAACCAAGUGAAAAUGAUAUUGGAAAGACUGUUUACCGUUUGACUCCUGUCCCAAUCUAACCUGGUGGGUUCAAAAAGUAGGGACUGCGCUGGAAACAUGAGUGGAUUAAAACGAUCAUCCCUUUUUGAAUUAAUAGUCGAAGUGGUAACCAGCUAGAAGUCGUAACUUGCUUGUAUGAAAGGAUUUCUCGACGUGAAAUUGUUAAUUUUAUUCAACAACGCCAAGAAACAGAGAUCGUUCAAGAAACAUAAAAAAAAGAGAAAGACGAAAAAAUAUUCUGUUGAACAAUA